rnacentral:rRNA from 1 species
GUCGGGAGUUAGGAAAUGCAAGGAUGUUAAUAGCAUCUUUGCUUGACUAAGGCUCCGGAGGAAGCCACGGCUAACUCUGUGCCAGCAGCCGCGGUAAUACAGAGGCGGCAAGCGUUGUUCGGAAUUAUUGGGCGUAAAGAGCACGUAGGUGGCCGUGUAAGUCGGUUGUGAAAGCCUUCCGCUCAACGGGAGAACGGCAUCCGAUACUGCAUGGCUCGAGUGCGGGAGGGGAGAGUGGAACUUCUGG